UUUUUAGCAGAUUUGUGGAAGCUGGAUUUGAUGAUUUCUCUUCACCUCGGAAGGCCUUAAGUGGGGCAGUCCUGUGUGAGCAUGAGGUGCAGUGGCUGUUCUGUGGUGAUCAGUGCCAAGACACACUGGAAGGAACUAAAGAGCAAUCCUGAAAAAUAUCUUCUGGGAUGGAAAAAUUCUGAUCUUUGAGAAAAUAAAGGAACUGCUGUGUGAGAGGAAAAAUGUCAAUACAUUUGGAGGACAGGCUGGCAGUACUUCUCUCCAGAUGUACCAUUUGGCACAUUAAGCAAUUCUUUUCUUAGAAGGGGAACCUAUGUUUUUGCCAUGUAAUGCAAAACACCAAUGGAAUCACUACAUAAGCAAAAUGCCAGUAAUGGUACAGUGGUCCAGCCACAAACAUUGGUGAAGGACAGAAAAGGGGCAAGGACUUUCUUCACAUCCCUCUGCCACUGUCCACUGACUCUUUAUGUGUAUUAUAGUUUCUUCCACCAACCUGAAGCUUCCUGUGGGAUGAGCAGCAGGACAGCUGCCUUCCUCCUAGUCUUGUGGCCAAGGGAGGAAGAGGAGCCUGGCCAGGGAAAUCCCAGUUUCCUUGGCAGGGCUGGUCUUUGCCCUGGGGAAAGGUUGUCAGCUUGGGGAGAGAGCUGUGACAUCCUGCCCUGCCUGACCCCAGCUUGGGUUCUCUUCAAUGCUUCUGUUUCUUACAACAAAUGUCCUGUAAUUCAAGCUUUGUGUAGGUGGGGUCAUGCUACUCUGCUCAGUAGAGUUUCUUUCUCCUUAAUAUGACAGGUGUUUCAUUUUUUCCUACCAUUCACCAGAAAUCUCACCUUUAUUCUUCCCAUGUUAAAUAAGUCAGUUCUGGCUUUUGCCUGUCCAUGCAGUCAGAAAAUUAGACUUUCUGAUUACUGUCACCCUGCCUAAAAGGAAUGGAAAAGCAACAGUGGAAGAAAAAAAAGAGUGAUUUCUAUCCAAGAUUCUAAUUAAAUGGGUUUGUGUGGCCUUUCCAGUUUGAUUAACUCUGUAAUUAAUAAUGACCAGGUGAGACAGGGAAGUUACUUUUCUUUGGACUUUUUCUGUCUCAUGAAUGCUGGGGAAGAAUGCAAGGAAGGCACACAGUUGUGAGAACACUUUCCCUCUCCUGUUGGUACAAUUCCUAAAAUCUGGCCAUGUUUUAAACUCCUGUGAAGAGCAAAAUUUCACUGUUUCUCCUCUAGAGUAUUUCUGCAAAGAAGCUAAUCCUUGGUCCUGCUCAGCCACUGGAGGGAAAAUGAUAGUGUUAAUGCUAUGUCCUGUUUUGGGUUUUGUAAUUUUGUUUUCUUUUUAUUACUCUUUGAAGCAAAAAACCCAGGGCAAAACAUGGCUUUGAAGGUGUGCAGCUACCCUUGGAGCUGAAGUGGAAAGAGCCACUGCAGUAGUGCUGUGAGCUCAGCCGUGUGGGUCCAGCAUUGAGGGGGAAAGGGAUGCACAUCCAAGGUCCUGGAAGCUCAAGAACAUUUUGCAGUUCCUGAAAUGUCUACUUCCAAGCUGAAAAUGGCAGCACAGCAAGGCAUCAGCAAUAGCACAAAAGUGCAUGAGCCUGCUUGUGAGGAAAGCUACGGGAAAGAAAAUCCCAAAGAACACCCAGACGUGCUGGUGGUCACCAGGGGCAUGGCUGCUUUUCCUGGCUGUGGCAUGAAGGGGCAUCCUGUGGCAAGAGGAGCCUGUUUGGGAUGAUGGGAGAAACGACAGAGCUGGUCAUGGCCAAGCUUCUAUCAGAGAGCCCAAAAUUGAGCAGUUCAUGGCAUGUCUCCUUGGGUUGUGCCCAGCCCUGUGAAGAGGGAGCAUGGAGCCAGCAGCAGAGGAAUAAGGGCACGUUAUCAGAUCACCUCCUCCUGCCCUCCACUUGCCUCCCAGAGUUUCAAUCUAAAUCCAGACGAAUAUCAUGAAAUGGAAUAACCACUGACCUUUUAGUUCUCACUGCAACAGCAACACAAGGAGCACAGCAGAGAGGAUCUUGCUGCGUUUGCUGGGAAUUGCUGUUGGAUUGUCUCCUGAAGGAUAAAGCUCUGGAGUUUCUGGUCCUGACAAAAGUUGGGAAGUGACACAAUUCACAUAAACAAGGAAGGUUUGUCUGAAUUUUCUCAGGAAUUGUAACAGGUACUGAAUCAAUGUUUCAUUUGAGCCUGUCCGGCUAACCCCACUGUGUCAGGUUAUCUGAUCUAGUAGAUAAAUGGUUGCUGUAUAUUAUUUGUGUUGUGUUAAGCUUGUCUCUUGCUACAGACUGAGUGAGGCCACCCUAAAAUGGGGACCCAAACCUGUAAGAGAUUGACAAAUGGGAGAUGCCAUAACAACCCUGAAACCUACCUGCUGAAAAAACUACAUUUCAUAAGAAUAAAAUGAUCAAGUUUCUAGCCCACUUGUUUUUAAGCAGUGUACCCUAGAAAGGAAUGAUGAGUUUUAAACAAAGACAAGGAGAAAAAUUUCUAGGUUUUUAAGGUUUUCCAGCUUCAGACCAAGAUCCAGGCUUUAUGACCAGAAAAGGAGAAACAAGGCCCUUUCUGCUGUACACGAGUUUUUCAAUAGACAGACUGGCAUUAAUAUCAGUCUCUGAGAUGCUGCUUAUUAAAACUGCUUCUAAAACCCAUGGGCAAGUGUGUCUACUGAACAUUCCCUAUUAAAGUGGAAUAUGGGUGUCACUAAAUAAUCUUUCCAGCCCCCCACUUUCCAGCAGCUUAUUUCCAGAUCUGAACUUUGGAGCUGACCUCUGUCUUCGUGAUGGGCCAAACCAAAAGCCAGAUCUGAACACGGCUGAACUCUGGGAAAGUUCAAAUCUAUCGUUUGUGGUUCAGGUUCAGCUCUAAUUAAAAUGGACCAGUUAGAAAGGCAAAUGUCUUCAAACCAAACCAAAACAAAUGUUUCACGUGAAACAUUUUGGUUCGGGCUGUAUGGUACCAAGUAGUGUUUUUGUCUAUCACAUGAUGUCAUGUUCCUCUGUAUGAGCUGUUCCAUGCAGACACUUUGAAUCUGACUUCAAGAAGAAGACAACAUGAAUGGAAAUGCUUUCAUGAUGUGCAAAACCCCAUCAGCAGUCUUCCUGCCACUCAGUUCUGAAGAGAGCAAGAUAUGAAGUGACUUGCCCAAGGUCACACAAAAAGGCCCAGCUGGGAGCAGAGAACAACUCCAUUAUCUCCUGGUCCACCUUUCACCAUAAAAUGAUUAUUCUUACAUUGAACUAGGAGACACAGGAACCGCAAGGCUGCACCAACCCUGUCUGAUGGGACAUAAAAUGGAGAUCUCUUCUGAACAAGGUGGCUGGAGGCUGAAUCAGGCAGAAUAUGAGUUUCCACAUUUUGGUGAAGAAAUGAGUGAACAGGACCUCUGACUGACUCAUCCCAAGGGAAACCAGCAAAGCAAUAUGGAAAAUGUUACCCUGUAUAACUACAGAAAAGCUAAAAGACAAAAGGAGGAUUUUUGUUCUGGCCAGUGCUGGGCAGGAAAUGAUCAUCGAAGACGCAAGGCCCCAUCCUGCCCUCUUUACACCACACCUGAGUACACAAGUACUGACCUCAUCAUCUCUGGGUGCUACUCCAGUAAUAAAAAAAAUAAAGACUUGUGGAUUAUGGGAUCUUUAUAGACCUGCAUGGAACUAAUCUGGCUCGGCUGGAAGGGGUCAUGUAAACCUGCUGCAACUGUUAUAGUCUGUGUGGUUUCACACCCAACAAAUGUCAAAGCAGAACUUAGCUCCAACAGCCAAGUUUCAUCUAUGUUUGGUUUAAUCCAUAAAAGAACCCACCAAAUUCCACAUCAGCCAUUUCAGACUUGCAAGAAACCACCCAGCUUCAGUGAACGGGUCAAGAAUCUGGUAAGUAUUUUGGCAAAUAUGGCUUGAACAGUGGCUCAAGAAAACCCUGGUUUUUCCAUCUUUGUAGAGACUGACCAGCCUGGUAGCUU